rnacentral:rRNA from 1 species
CCCUUAGAUGUUCUGGGCGGCCCGCGCACUACAAUGGCGUGUGCAGCGAGUGCCGAAGUAGAGUUUUCCGAGGUAUUCUUGCAAUGCUCGUUUUGAUGGGGAUAGACCCUUGCAACUGUUGGUUUUGAACGAGGAAUUCCUUGUAAGCAUGGUUUAUCAUCCGACGCUGAAUGCGUCCCUGCCCUUUGUACACACCGCCCGUCGCUCCUACCGAUGAGUCGUCCGGUGAAGUUCGUAGACCUCGUGAUCGCGGGUCACUGGGGGAAGCAAAAUGAACCUCGCGGUUUAGAGGAAGGAGAAGUCGUAACA